rnacentral:rRNA from 1 species
GAGCGCAACCCUUGUCAUUAGUUGCUACGAAAGGGCACUCUAAUGAGACUGCCGGUGACAAACCGGAGGAAGGUGGGGAUGACGUCAAGUCCUCAUGGCCCUUAUAGGUGGGGCUACACACGUCAUACAAUGGCUGGUACAAAGGGUUGCCAACCCGCGAGGGGGAGCCAAUCCCAUAAAGCCAGUCGUAGUCCGGAUCGCAGUCUGCAACUCGACUGCGUGAAGUCGGAAUCGCUAGUAAUCGUGGAUCAGCAUGUCACGGUGAAUACGUUCCCGGGUCUU